UACGUAGGGUGCGAGCGUUGUCCGGAAUUACUGGGCGUAAAGAGCUCGUAGGUGGUUUGUCGCGUUGUUCGUGAAAACCGGGGGCUUAACCCUCGGCGUGCGGGCGAUACGGGCAGGCUGGAGGCUGGUAGGGGCAAGCGGAAUUCCUGGUGUAGCGGUGAAAUGCGCAGAUAUCAGGAGGAACACCGGUGGCGAAGGCGGCUUGCUGGGCCAGUUCUGACGCUGGAGGAGCGAAAGCGUGGGGAGCGAACAGG
rnacentral:rRNA from 1 species